GAGAGCAAAUCGGAACACGCUGUUGUGGAAAAGAAUCAUCUGGACGACGUGCCACGCACGAUCUCGCGAGAACAGCAGGAAACCGCACAACGGCUCAAGCAACUUCAGAACGAGGCCGAGGAAUACUUCAUUUUCGACAUCAUCGAAACCAUAA
rnacentral:lncRNA from 1 species